rnacentral:rRNA from 1 species
AGUGAACGCUGGCGGUAGGCCUAACACAUGCAAGUCGAACGGCAGCACAGUAAGAGCUUGCUCUUACGGGUGGCGAGUGGCGGACGGGUGAGGAAUACAUCGGAAUCUACUUUUUCGUGGGUGAUAACGUAGGGACACUUACGCUAAUACCGCAUACGACCUACGGGUGAAAGCAGGGGAUCUUCGGACCUUGCGCGAUUGAAUGAGCCGAUGUCGGAUUAGCUAGUUGGCGGGGUAAAGGCCCACCAAGGCGACGAUCCGUAGCUGGUCUGAGAGGAUGAUCAGCCACACUGGAACUGAGACACGGUCCAGACUCCUACGGGAGGCAGCAGUGGGGAAUAUUGGACAAUGGGCGAAAGCCUGAUCCAGCCAUACCGCGUGGGUGAAGAAGGCCUUCGGGUUGUAAAGCCCUUUUGUUGGGAAAGAAAAGCAGCAGGUUAAUACCCCGCUGUUCUGACGGUACCCAAAGAAUAAGCACCGGCUAACUUCGUG